rnacentral:rRNA from 1 species
UACGUAGGGGGCAAGCGUUGUCCGGAAUUAUUGGGCGUAAAGAGCGUGUAGGCGGUCCGGUAAGUCAGCUGUGAAAGUCAAGGGCUCAACCCUUGAAUGCCGGUUGAUACUGUCGGGCUAGAGUCCGGAAGAGGCGAGUGGAAUUCCCGGUGUAGCGGUGAAAUGCGCAGAUAUCGGGAGGAACACCAAUGGCGAAGGCAAUCCCCUGGACCUGUACUGACGCUCAUGCACGAAAGCGUGGGGAGCAAACAGG